CUGAGUGAGGGCCCUCCGGCCCGACCUCCAACCCCAUGUAUUCCGACUCUGUUGCCUCGGGGGCGACCCGGCCUUUACCGGCGUGGGGCCCCCGGCGGACACCAUAACCCUGCAUCUUUGCGUCUGAGUAACACUUUGAAUUAAAUCA
rnacentral:misc_RNA from 1 species